AUGAGGCUAUACAGACAGUUGAAGGUUAAUUAGCAGUAUAACUAUAAAUAGUAAUGCUGCCAGUCUCCUUCAGACAAGA
rnacentral:snoRNA from 1 species